GUGAACAUGUAUGUGAUGUGUUGAUAAGGCUUAAGUCAGCAAGUGUGUAUGUAUUCUCCCAUUUGUUCUGCUUGGCUGGGAAAGGGAGUAAGAGAAAAUGUGAGGUCAAGAGUGGAGAGAAAGAGAGAAUAACUGAGAGAGAGAGAGAAGCAAAAUUCAGUCCAAGAAGAAAAACUAAGGGAAGAAAAGUUAGGAGGAACAAGGGAAUUAGAAAGGAAUUAACUAAACUUCUUGAGAUUAAAGUUCAAGGUCACGCGCUAUCUUUUGCCUGAUCUAUCUGAUUUGUCUGUAUUAUCUGAUCUACUAGAGGAGCCAUAUCACAAGGCCCUUGCCCGAGGGUAAUAAUACCGUGGUCGACAAGUACAAUGCCCUCGCUCAGGGGUAACAAUACCGUGCCUUUUUAAGCAAGGCCCUUGCUCGGGGGUAAUAAUACCGUGGUCUCAUGGCCCUUUCCCGGAGGUAACAAUACCGUGACACAAGUAUAUUACAAAUUCCCGGUACUGGAGGUUCCUUAUGGAACUAACAAGCAAGAUAACACUAAUGGAUGUACCAUGCAUGAUUAAGCAUGAAUUCUGAUUUUCGUAUGAAGCUUGAAUAAGAAUAUGAAUAUGAACAUGUUUCUGAUUUGAAA